AGCAGCCGCGGUAAUUCCAGCUCCAAUAGCGUAUAUUAAAGUUGUUGCAGUUAAAAAGCUCGUAGUUGAAUUUCGGGGUUAGUAGGUUGGUCAUGCCUCUGGUAUGUACUGGUCUCACUGAUUCCUCCUUCCUGAUGAACCGUAAUGCCAUUAAUUUGGUGUUGCGGGGAAUUUGGACUGUUACUUUGAAAAAAUUAGAGUGUUUAAAGCAAGCUAACGCUUGAAUACAUUAGCAUGGAAUAAUGAAAUAGGACGUUCGAUCCUAUUUUGUUGGUUUCUAGGAUUGACGUAAUGAUUAAUAGGGAUAGUUGGGGGCAUUAGUAUUCAAUUGUCAGAGGUGAAAUUCUUGGAUUUAUUGAAGACUAACUACUGCGAAAGCAUUUGCCAAGGAUGUUUUCAUUAAUCAAGAACGAAAGUUAGGGGAUCGAAGACGAUCAGAUACCGUCGUAGUCUUAACCAUAAACUAUGCCGACUAGGGAUCGGAUGAUGUUAAUUUU
rnacentral:rRNA from 1 species